rnacentral:tRNA from 1 species
GCCUGGGUGGCUCAGUGGGUUGAGCGUCUGACUCCGGCUUAGGUCACGAUCUCACAGUCCGUGGGUUUGAGCCCCGUGUCGGGCU